UGUUUUGCUCAGCCCUCACCAUUUUCUGCUCCAAAGAGGAGUUUCAAAUGCACAUUGAUCUUUCUCAUUUAGUGAAUGAACUGAAUUAGCACCUGUUUUCAACUGCCAAAAAAUGCACUUUUAUUUUUUUUUUUAAAUGGGGAAAGAGAAGUCUGUGUGCUGUUAAGUCAACAUGGGAGGUAUGUUUUGUUUUGUUUUCCCUACUUUCUUCAAAAGAACUUAACCAGAAAGGAACAAGAGGAAGCGGAUUCUCCCUUUUGGCAGAAACCUGCAGUCACUUGGGCUGUAACUGGGAUAUCCCGGUGAAGCGGUCAGGUCCUGGCGGAUGUAUCAGCGCCCACGCAGAAAAAAAACACCAAAAUGUGUUUGCCAAACUAACGGAGGAAGCCCCUCCCUCCAAGGACAGUUGGAGAUCUGAUAGAGCACUUGCCGGGCAUGCACAUACCCUGCUCAAAACCAGCACGAGGGCGUUGGGGGCAGGGGUUGAAGAGUUCAACUAUGAAGGUGUAAAGCCUUCACCCACGAAAAGAGGUGCCAAAGGCGGUGCUAAAAGACAAGGAUGACUUUGCAUUUAGAGAUGGUGACACUCUUGGGACGUACAUAGACUAAAGCAAAUGACUGCUGAAGCUGCCAUCCAUGCAGUUCUGAAAGCUCUCAGCAUGUACAUGAUCCCCAGGCCUCUCUUUUAGAACCCACUGAUAUCUAAUCUAAUAAUAAUAGGAAUUGAAAAGAUAAAGCUCUGCGUGCUGCGCCCUGCCCCCGCCUGGAAGGGGCGGAGUCUCGGUCCCAGGUUUCCCUGGGGACUGUGCCCAGGUCUAGUGUGGAGGAGGCCUGGGAGCGAGGUCAAGCCUCUGCGGAGCCCGGUGUUCCGGAGCUGGACUGUGAGGCUCGGCUCGGGGCAGAGGAUGCAGAACAUGAACUGUUCCACUUUCCAGCUAAUAUUUGAGCACCUGCUGUAUGUGAAGUGUCGCCCAAGAAUAAGACAAGGUCCUGGCCCUCGUGGAACCCGUGGUCUCGUGGUCUCGACAGAGAAGGCAGACGUCAGACUAAACGUGUGAAUUUAUGAGUUAGGCCAUGGAGUCUGGGGAGCAGGGGAAGCGCCUGUGUGUGGAGGCAGUUGGGGUGAAGUGGCCCCAGGCCACCCAAGGGUCUCUAGGCAGCAGAACACGCAGCCAAGGGAAAGGGACAAGGGCCCUGGGGCCGAGUGCCCUGGGCUGUUAGGGCAGAGCAAGGCAGGGCAGGGCGGUGAGCAGGGCUGGAGCAGGAGCAAAUGGGCAGGACUAGAUCCGAAAGGCUGGACCUGGUGAGCCCUUCCUGGGGACUCUGCUAGGAAAAUGGGACAGGCCCCUGGGGGGUCGCGGGGAGGGGCGACAGGCACCUGAGUGCUGCCCUUUUCCCUCCCACCCAUUGCCACGGCCUCUGUUUUCAGUGUGGUGGCCCCAUGAGGACACCCAGGUGUCCAUCCCUAGCAGGGCCUUUCCUGAUUGUCACCUCCCGUGUCCAGCAGCUCCCUGGACAGCUGCCCUCUCCGUACAUCCAGACACCUGGAAGUUUCUCAAGCUCAGCGCCACCCACCAGGAGCACCACAGCCUCGCCCACCAGUCCGCUCCUCCACAGGCUUCCCAGUCCCAACCCAGGAAAUUCAGGAUUUACUGGCUCAGCCUCAAAGCCUCAGUUAGCCUCAACUGCCUCCUCCUGUGUCCAUUCCACAGCAAAACCCCGCUGACUCUGCUUCAGAGGGGGCCAGAACCCCGAGGGCGAGGCCACUGGCUUUUCUCUUUCCAUAUCUGUCCCCUUUUCCAUUUGUUCUUUUUCAUCCUGUGUCUCGGCUUCUCGCUGGUGCUGGAGAGGGAACCACUCUCCCUAAGACACGCCCAGCCUUCCUUUGCCUUCCCAUGCACCCAGGCUGGCCUCAGGCUCCUGGCUCAGGCUGGCCUCCUGCUCCAUCAUUUUUUUUUUUUUUUUGGCA